rnacentral:rRNA from 1 species
UACGGAGGGUGCAAGCGUUAUCCGGAUUUAUUGGGUUUAAAGGGUGCGUAGGCGGCCCGUUAAGUCAGUGGUGAAAGCCUCCAGCUCAACUGGAGAACUGCCAUUGAUACUGACGGGCUUGAGUACAGACGAGGUUGGCGGAAUUGAUUGUGUAGCGGUGAAAUGCAUAGAUACAAUCAAGAACACCGAUUGCGUAGGCAGCUAACUAGGCUGUAACUGACGCUGAGGCACGAAAGCGUGGGGAGCGAACAGG